UACGUAGGCAGCGAGCGUUGUUCGGAGUUACUGGGCGUAAAGCGUGCGCAGGCGGUUCGUUGUGUCGGUGGUGAAAGCCCCGGGCUUAACCUGGGAAUGGCCAUGGAAACUGGCGAACUGGAGUGUGGCAGAGGGGGGUGGAAUUCCGCGUGUAGCAGUGAAAUGCGUAGAGAUGCGGAGGAACACCGAUGGCGAAGGCAGCCCCCUGGGCUAGCACUGACGCUCAGGCACGAAAGCGUGGGGAGCAAACAGG
rnacentral:rRNA from 1 species